GAUGAACGCUGGCGGCGUGCCUAAUACAUGCAAGUCGAGCGAACAGACGAGGAGCUUGCUCCUCUGACGAUAGCGGCGGACGGGUGAGUAACAUGUGGAGAACCUACCUAUAAUACUGUGAUAACUUCGGGAAACCGUAUCUAAUACCGUAUAACAUGUUGAAGCGCAUUGUUCAACAGGUAAUUACGGUUUUUCUGUCACUGCUCGAUGGAUCUGCGCCUCUUUAGAUAGUUGGUAAGUUAACUGCUUACUAAGGCAACUAUGCGUAGUCCACCGGAGAGGGGGAUAGGCCACACUGGAAGUGAGACACCGACAAUAGUACUAGGGGAGGCAGCAGUAGGGUAACUUACGCAAUAGGCGAAAACCUGGCGCAGCGACGCAGAGUGAGAGACAAAGGUGUUCGGAGCGUAAAAUUGUUUUAUUAGGGAAGAACAAAUGUGUAAGUAACUGUGGCCGGAUUGACGGUACCUAAUAAGAAAGCAACGGCUAACUACGUG
rnacentral:rRNA from 1 species